GCGAGUGCCUGUGCAACGCGCGCGUGUGCUUUGGAGCUGCAGCCUCAACUCGAGUGCACGUGUAAAGGUUCACAGGACAGGUCUGAAAGGUCAACGUCAAUCAUAUUUGGCCGUGGAUAUCACUGCAACUUUGGCACUCGACCAAGCGAGGUACAUUGGACAGAUCAACCGGACCAAAAGGCGGGGUAAAGGAAAAGGCAGCGGAAUAGGACCAAGGGUGCUCAGCCUUAUCAAAGCGCUUUGAAUAAUAAAUGUGCAAGUAUUGACAAAAGCUUUCGAUGCAUAUUUUAUUAGGUACUACCCAUGUCGAGUGAUGGUCGCAUGGUGAGGUACACCACUCUACAGUUCAUAGUGACACAGAAUACACUUCAUCUCUUGGGCCAUCAUACUAACAAUGCAGCUGCAUUUCAUGUUGAGAGUCUCUUGUCACCUCGCAGAGAAAAUGCUACA